AUUGAACGCUGGCGGCAGGCCUAACACAUGCAAGUCGAGAGCGAGGCGGAAGGGUGAGUAAUGUCUGGGGAUCUGCCCGAUAGAGGGGGAUAACGACUGGAAACGGUAGCUAAUACCGCAUACUAUAGGAUGAACACAUAUUGGAGUAGAUAGGUGGUGAGGUAAUGGCUCACCAAGCCGACGAUCUCUAGCUGGUCUGCGAGGAUGACCAGCCACACUGGGCCUGAUACACGGCCCAGACUCCUACGGGAGGCAGCAGUGGGGAAUAUUGCGCAAUGGGGGCAACCCUGACGCAGCCAUGCCGCGUGAAUGAAGAAGGCCUUCGGGUUGUAAAUUUCUUUCGGUAGCGAGGCGUUAACUACAGAAGAAGCACCGGCUAACUCCGUGCCAGCAGCCGCGGUAAUUC
rnacentral:rRNA from 1 species